GGGGUUGGCUCAGUGGUAGAGUGCUUGCCUUGCAUGCAUGAGACCCUGGGUUCCAAUUCCUGAGCACCA
rnacentral:tRNA from 1 species